rnacentral:rRNA from 1 species
GAUGAACGCUGGCGGCGUGCCUAAUACAUGCAAGUCGAGCGAACAGACGAGGAGCUUGCUCCUCUGACGUUAGCGGCGGACGGGUGAGUAACACGUGGAUAACCUACCUAUAAGACUGGGAUAACUUCGGGAAGCCGGAGCUAAUACCGGAUAAUAUAUUGAACCGCAUGGUUCAAUAGUGAAAUACGGUUUUGCUGUCUCUUAUAGAUGGAUCCGCGCCGCAUUAUCUAGUUGGUAAGGUAACGGCUUACCAAGGCAACGAUGCGUAGCCGACCUGAGAGGGUGAUCGGCCACCCUGGAACUGAGACACGGUCCAGACUCCUACGGGAGGCAGCAGUAGGGAAUCUUCCGCAAUGGGCGAAAGCUUGACGGAGCAACGCCGCGUGAGUGAUGAAGGUCUUCGGAUCGUAAAACUCUGUUAUUAGGGAAGAACAAAUGUGUAAGUAACUAUGCACGUCUUGACGGUACCUAAUCAGAAAGCCACGGCUAACUACGUG